UCCUACGGGGGAGCAGCAGUGGGGAAUUUUGGACAAUGGGCGCAAGCCUGAUCCAGCCAUUCCGCGUGCAGGAUGAAGGCCCUCGGGUUGUAAACUGCUUUUGUACGGAACGAAAAGGCUCUGGUCUAAUACCCGGGGCUGAUGACGGUACCGUAAGAAUAAGCACCGGCUAACUACGUGCCAGCAGCCGCGGUAAUACGUAGGGUGCGAGCGUUAAUCGGAAUUACUGGGCGUAAAGCGUGCGCAGGCGGUGAUGUAAGACAGGUGUGAAAUCCCCGGGCUUAACCUGGGAACUGCAUUUGUGACUGCAUCGCUGGAGUGCGGCAGAGGGGGAUGGAAUUCCGCGUGUAGCAGUGAAAUGCGUAGAUAUGCGGAGGAACACCGAUGGCGAAGGCAAUCCCCUGGGCCUGCACUGACGCUCAUGCACGAAAGCGUGGGGAGCAAACAGGAUUAGAUACCCUGGUAGUCCACGCCCUAAACGAUGUCAACUGGUUGUUGGUCCUUCACUGGAUCAGUAACGAAGCUAACGCGUAACUUUCGGGC
rnacentral:rRNA from 1 species